GCCAGUGAAAGAGUAACAAAAGGUGUACAAAAUGCAGGAGCUAGCUACUGCAGUCGGUGCUCUUAUAAGCAUCAUCUAUGUGAAAAGAGUGAGGAAGGAACAAAACUUUCAUUUUUGUGUAUAGUGAUUGUGAUAGCAAUGAAUCGCAUCUUACGUGAUAUUGUUGCUUGGUUGUCUGAGAAGUCCCACACCGGUUACGUUUGCAAGUUAUUUAUUGUUUAUAUAAUACACACAUACCAUCUGUUAAUGUCCCUUCGGGGACAUCCGAUAAAAUUGGAACGAUACAGAGAAGAUUAGCAUGGCCCCUGCGCAAGGAUGACACGCACAAAUCGAGAAAUGGUCCAAAUUUUUUUUGACUUUUUUUUCCUUCGUCUUCAUCUGCUUCGUUUUCUCGUUUUACCUUGUCCCUUUCAUUUGCUGCAGGUUUUGGGGUGAGAACUUUAUUCCAGUCUAGCUUCCUAACAUUGAAUAUGCAUCAAUGGCCAUUAAUGACAUGAAUCCACAAUUAAAGGAGAAGCUUGUUGGAUAGGCUUGUCACGAUCUGAAUGAAUUGGCUUCCCGAGCAAUACACAUCGAUAGUAAAGGGAGAAUAAACAUGUUGGCCGAGGAAGAGGCCAUCAUUGGUAUGGAGGAAUCAUAAAAUGAUAUAGCAGUCGGUCCUACGACAAAUUUAUUAGCAAUUGAAAUUCUAAAUACGAAAAGCUACUCAUGUCCUCCCUUGAACCCAACUAAAGGAAAGGGCACCAUUUCAUAAGAAGACAUAAUAGAAUAUAUUGUUUACCUUCUUCCUUUCAUUUGAUUCUUUUUGAUGCAGAUUUUAAUUGGCCCACUGUCGCUACUUCUAGAGAGUCUGUGACUGGCUAUUGUGCCUUUCUUGGAUCAUCUCUAAUCUCCUAGAAAUCAUCGAAGCAAUCUACACUUUCUAAAUAAAGUUAAGAAGCUCAACACAGGAAUGCUAAUGGCAGAAUAGCACGCGUUAUGAAUGAACCAAAGAGCAAUACGUAGAGUUGGAAAGCACAACAUCAUAGCCCGAGCUUUUAAAGUUAAUAAUCCUCAAAGCUGGUGUUUCUUUGGCUGUAUAUUUAGCUGGUUUCAUCUAUGCCUUGGUCCUGGUCAAUAAAGGCCUAUCUAAAUCAGAUUGACACCAACACAGUCCACAGUCCAAUGCUCUUUUAAUCUUUCAGAAAAAAGCUGGUGCUACACGUGGAAGAAUCGGUAAACCUGAAUGUUUUGAAAUCAUCUACCCCAAGCAAUACUCAAACCGUUAAAGAUACCCCAUCAUUCAGCAUUAAUAUCUAAAGCAGGGGUGAAGGUUUUGCUGCAAAAGCAACACAAGAAUCACCUCCAUCAUCAACUUAUUUUGAGGUGCACAACACCAUUAACUAUGUCAUUUUAGAAAUUGUUGUUGGAAAGAUAUGUUUGUAAAUAGGAUUAUGAUACUUGAAAAUGCAAGUCAAAGUUCUGUAACAGUUAUUUUGGAUCGUGUUAGACUUGUCCUGCUAGAGGUACCGAGUUGUGAGAUUAGGUGUGAUGCACAUAUCCUUAUUAGCAUGAAGGCAUAUAUCAAAUAGGCUAUAUUUAGAUAUUGAUGAAAAAUUGACAAGGAAUUUAUUAAUGAUAUUGGUAUCGAGGUCAUGGAUUUAAACUUGAAGGUUUGAAAAUAUAUGAAAUUUAUGGCAUGGGCUUGGUUA